rnacentral:rRNA from 1 species
UCCGGACGGGGCUAUCGGUGUUCGGAAUUACUGGGCGUGAAGCGCACGUAGGCGGACGAGAAAGUCAGAGGUGAAAUCCCAGGGCUCAACCCUGGAACUGCCUUUGAAACUCCUUGUCUUGAGGUCGAGAGAGGUGAGUGGAAUUCCGAGUGUAGAGGUGAAAUUCGUAGAUAUUCGGAGGAACACCAGUGGCGAAGGCGGCUCACUGGCUCGAUACUGACGCUGAGGUGCGAAAGCGUGGGGAGAAAACAGG